UAAAAACCCCGACUUCGGAAGGGGUGUAUUUAUUAGAUACAAAACCAAUGCCCUUCGGGGCUCUUUGGUGAUUCAUGAUAGCUAUACGAAUCGCACGGCCUUGCGCCGGCGAUGGUUCAUUCAAAUUUCUUCCCUAUCAACUUUCGAUGUUUGGGUAUUGGCCAAACAUGGUUGCAACGGGUAACGGAGGGUUAGGGCUCGACCCCGGAGAAGGAGCCUGAGAAACGGCUACUACAUCCAAGGAAGGCAGCAGGCGCGCAAAUUACCCAAUCCCGACUCGGGGAGGUAGUGACAAUAAAUACUGAUACAGGGCCCUUUCGGGCCUUGUAAUUGGAAUGAGUACAAUUUAAAUCCCUUAACGAGGAACAAUUGGAGGGCAAGUCUGGUGCCAGCAGCCGCGGUAAUUCCAGCUCCAAUAGCGUAUAUUAAAGUUGUUGUGGUUAAAAAGCUCGUAGUUGAACCUUGGGCCUGGCUGGCCGGUCCGCCUCACCGCGUGCACUGGUCCGGCCGGGCCUUUCCCUCUGUGGAACCCCAUACCCUUUCACUGGGCGUGGCGGGGAGACAGGACAUUUACUU
rnacentral:rRNA from 1 species